GUCGCUUCUGCUGACGGAAGCCGCCGGGAAAAACCGACUUUCAUUAAGCACUGCCUGCUGGCGGCCCUCUGCCCCCCCGACACCCACCGAUCUUCCCUGACUCAGCGAACGGUUCAGCUGCGUAUAACUCCUUCAAAAGCAUUCUUCCCGUUAGGCAUUGAAUUUGCGAUAUAGAUUCAAGGAAGCCCGACUCCCGCCCGUCGCUCAUGAUACGCAUGUGUGGCCAUUGCGGGGGGUCAACACUCCAACACUGUGAACGUGAACCAUUAGUGACUUGGGCCACAUCGUGUCGGCGUCGUUUUCAAACUUUUUGUUUGCGCAGGGAAAACACUUUGCUCCGUGAUAUUUCCUUGUUGUCUCCAAGUUUGGAGGGGCGGGACGGGGGGUCCAUUGUCCCUCGACACACUCUUCACGACCCAGCCACCACUUCGUCGUAGGUUUUCUAGUCCCAUUUUUGUGCUCUUCAUCUCGACACAAAGAUGCAGCCUACAUGCACGCCGAUCAUGUCCCGAACGGAGCCGGGCGGGCGCAAGGCCACUGCGUCUCAGCAACGCUCGCAGCGCUCAAUUCGACCGCCGUUUCCCGCUCCCUUACACUCGACUCGUCUGCUUCUCCGGCGUGGCUCUAGCCGACUCGCCGCAGCUGUCUUCUUGGCGGCUCUUGCAUGUUUAUUUUUCCUCGACUUUAACCUUCGGGUGCCCACAGCCGUGGCAGCCGGCUCUGUCUUUCCGGAAGCAGAACCUCAUGAUAAUACAGAAGCGGUGUUUGCACUGGAUGACGACGCAAGGAGGGGGAGCGCCGACGAUCUAUCAGGACAAGAAUCGAGUGCGAGCACUUCUCAAGCCACCUCCCGACGGAGUACAGAUCCGACCUCCACGAAGCGCGUUUCAGCUGUCCAGCGUCGCGUAGGCGCUCGUCGAAUUUCAGUUCUUGGCACAGUUUUAGGUGGUGUACUUGCUGUCCUCUACUUCGCCAAGUUUUUCAAGCGGGGCAAAACAAGGAGUGAAGCUCCACAACCGGAAUCAGCCCGCUAGUACGCCGACAGCUGCUACCCUCGAUGGGAGAGUCGUGCUGCUGCUGUGUUGGGGGUCCGCGAAUUGACUCCCUCGUCGAGAAGUCCCGUCCUUGUGCUAGAAGCUGUCAAGAGAGGGUUUGCAGGUGAAGGAUACUUAGGAAUCUUGUGACUUGUGGCAAACGAUGGGAUGCCGCUUCGACAUCGGAGCACGCGAAUGAGACGGUGAUGCGAGCAACUCAUGAGACUGAUGAUCCUAGCUAGAUAUGCCACAAGCUAUUGCCGGGGAGCUCACUGCUUUGACAUCUGAAAGCGUUCCAUCAGGCAGGACUCUGAUGAGUGUGUCAGGGGGCUGAGAAGCGUAUGCAGCAACCCGAGCGAAUCUGUAACCGAACGGAGUUUUGUUUGAGUGUACAGCUGGCCCAUGGCCGGUAAAGGACAUGCAUCGCGAAGGCCAUAGCAACUUUCUCGAAACGAGCGUCAGGGAAGAUGACUACAGCCACAGCUGUUACUGUCUGCGAGCAGGGGGUAGACGCCUCCUGUUUGGCUGGCUCCUCCACUUCUGUUGCUGACCGAACAGACGGAAUUUUCAAUGGGACCAUUCGGACGAUACGAUGAGCCGAAGAUUCGUGGGUCUAUUCUGGGCAAACAACUAAGUGGCCUUGGCGACUGUCUCUGCAUUGAGUCGCCGAUCUUGAUUGCAAACGAAGAUGCUGUCAAGUUUUCCGGCGGUCUUUUCUGGUGACAGCCGGCUUCAGCCAUCUGGAAGAAGAGGCCCGUAUCCGGUCCUCGCAGUUCUUCCACACGGUCGGGCGACAACCAGGGCCUACGCGACGAAGUUGAAUUUUUUCAUGCAUUAUUUUCCAGGCCGUUCGCAGCAACUAGCGCUCGAAUGGCUGUGGCCUUGUAUGCAACAACUCGUUAGGUUGAGCGUUGGUUGGUAGUAGCCCUUCUCACUGAUCGAGAGAUACUGGCUUGUCUCAUUAUCCGCUGGAGAGCUGCACACCGUGUGCCCAUCCUCCCCACAGACUCUAACGAGUGGAAGUGACUCCCGGCUGCAUUGCCACUCGGAAACGCUUGACUCCCCAUUGCCGGAGGUGAAGAUAGAUAUGUCGUCGUUGCGGGCGAAAGGGGGAGCUAGCAUUUUUUUUGUAGCUUACUUUUCGUAGUGUACGGUACGUCCCCCCGGUUUUUGUCUCCAUCGUUUGCUUGAAGAGUCUCGGCCGCUGUCCUCUGUUGUGUGUCCCAUCAGGCAAUCAUAGAAAAGACAGCACAGUUGCUCGUGAGUACCUCGUCUGCUGGAGUCAGGAGUCGGGUGACCCUCCACUCGCUUGUAACGCAUGUUGCAGCGUUCCUGCUAGGUCAAACCGUCGUGGAUGCCAACGGUAGAUAGCCAGCUAAGAGUAACUUUCCAACAAUGGUUUCUCUCUCACAGGCUCCUGCUUAGAACACCGGAAGAGAACAGGCUCCUUGUACUGUCGAGAUACAGAUAGCUGUAGGCACGCGGCUUCACCCCUGCUGUAGCCGAUCGACAGUGUUGUGCAGCCUUGUCACGCUUUCUUUAGUACGGGCUGCUGGGAGCCCUCUGGAACGUUCUUCAAGCAGAGUCAACUUGGUGUGUUAUCUCUACCGUGGUUGUUAUCCGUUCCAUCCGCAGGAAGAGCCUGUAAGUCUCAUACACUUGCCUCGUGGGAUCUGUAGCCGACGGCAGAACCGUCUUUCGCAUGUCGUCACCCCUGGAAACUUUCCUCUGUAUUUUACGUAGAGAAAUCAUACCUGGCGGCAAGCAAGGCGGUGCUGAUGAUGCAUAUGUGACACAAUGUACCAUACUGCGGCCACGCUGACGGGAAGGAUGUAUGGCUGGCGUCCCCGACCGUGGGGUGUAUGCGACCGACGGGUCUUCGCUGCCGUCGCGUGGCCGCAGCGAGGUAAACGGUCUGGUCUGUUUGAGAGGGGCCACCGACUGUAUUGCUUACCGUGGGGGUCUGCCUAAUUGACAACGCUAGACUGGUCGUUGGAGUUAUUGUUCCUCUGUGCUCACGGGGCGGUGUUAAGCGUCAGGAAAAGUCUGUAGGUUGGUGGUACUGCUGAGCGGAGUGUCUCACCUCAAGACAUCUCAGGAGUGGGAGUUGUUUGCGUCUUCUUGCGUGGAACGACAAAAGAGAACGGCCAGCGACAAUGAGGUUCGGUGCAGAGUUGUUGUACAACAGUGCCACACAAGUUCGAAAGAAACUCCCGUGGUUGAAAGGAUCCUCGGGACCACAGCAAAUGCCACCAGAGGCUGUGGCUCAGGCAAAUAUAGUCCCCAGUGCCUUGGCUAAGGGAUUCUGGAAAUCAAACCUGCCACAAAGGGGAAUCGUUUCGCAUACCAAAUGCUGCAUGCACGUCUCUGAUGGUGCUCGCUCGUGCAAACAGGAAGACGUCAUUCCUAGGAAGGGUCAGGGUUUUCCCAUGAACGUGUAGACCAUUCGUUCUGCCCCGGAAUGACUUGUGAAGGACUACGAUCUUUGGCGAUGCUGUUGAGACUAACUAAUGAAGUAGUCCGCUUCUCCUGUAACUCGAUGGAAUUGCUAAGCAAACGCAACACGACACGAUCAACCCAAUCCGGGGUUGAUUUCCACUAAUUUUUGUUCAAACGUAUCGACGACCAAACUGCUGCACGGCAAACAGUUGCCGGGACUGGUCUGCGGGCGUUCAUGUUCAUUCGAUUAAUCAGCUUGCCCAAAAAGGUGCACAUGCGCAAAACGCAGCAUGUUUCCUGCCGCCCUUCUCGUACCCGUCUACACCGUGUAGCUGAAUAAGUUUCAAUAAGCUGCAAUGUUGUUGCGCUGAAAGCACGCCGUAAACCGUGGCCAUGUGAAUGUUCGCGUGCCCUCCGUGUUCGAAGCCUGAGUUGUGGACAAGCGGAAGCUCUUGCGCACUCCCACAAUUUUGUCAGCGUUUCAUGCCAUGAGAUGCACUCCUCGUUUUCUUUAGAUGUGGAACAAGAAAGUACGUAUUGAGGUGGCUUCCCCCUCAUGAGCGUGGCCAUCCCUUGCGCAAUGGACCUUCUCUUGUUCUAUUAUCUUUUGUCGCCGUCUGCCAAUAACCGCACCAAAUGCACGUAGCCUCAGCCAUUACCGCCUGCCGAGGUGCUGUUGAGCGCCGAUGCUGGUUGCUAAACAGAGUGACAUUCACGGCUACGAGAAAGCCUGGACCUCAGGCUUUCCGUUUCACAACGUACUUGGUCUUGGAAUUGUCACGGGGCUUGCGCUCCAACACAGCUCGCGUGUGGUGUGCUGUUGUGCGAUUUGUAGGUGGCUGCCGGUCUAGCAACGGCUGCCGCUGCUGUAACGCUCGUGAGUUUGCGUGCUUCAUCGGAGAGCCUUUUGAGUGCCCCCGCGCUUCCAACGUUAUCCUAAUGACUGUAGUCAGCUCAGAGUUGAAAGAAGCACUGGGCGACAUUUGCAUCGGCGUCUACUCGACGAAAUCACCUGGGUUUGACAGAUGGAUGACUUCUUCACACGUCAUAUCCAGUUCGUAAACCACACAAGGCUCAAGAGGAUGCUUGGCGCUUGGAGCUCUGUCAGCUGCCUCGUUAUCGACGUGCAAUCCCUGUUGAGCCCACGACUGCCACAGCACUAACGCGUGCUUUCUACAGCAUCAAGCCGUCUUUCCAGUAUAUGUAUCCAGAGGGGUUGCCGACACAUUUGCUGUCCUGGACUUACCUUCUUGUGCCUCGCCGCAGUACCUGAUUACAGUAAGAGUGGAAUGCGGAAAGAUUCAUCCCUGUUGGCUUCGACGGCCUGGAAGCCUAUGACCAAGGAAGGGCCUCGUCCUAGAGGCCAGUCGGCCAGGCGUUCAAGGGGUUGACACCUGCCACGGUCACUGUCUGUAGAAUCUGCAGAAUCAUCAGCCGAUCAGCUUUAAAGUGAGAGCACUAUGUCCAGGAAGGAGUUUCACUGAGACGGCAAUUUACUCCACUCCGAUUCACAGACGAUCACUCCGUGCCGGGUGCAUCUGCGAGAAUAGGGGAUCAAACGUCAGUCGUGCAAUAAUCGUUCGUUUUUUGUUUCGAUCUACUCUGAUCGAGCCCCAGCGCUCCGCUGGCGGUCGAAUUUAGUCCUUCUCUCACGACAGCAGCACAGAUCAGCUCACCCACGAGCGAAUGCCCCAGCUUCUUGGUCAAAGCUGUCGAGACAAGCAGCAAGUUGUCGGCAAUAACACACAUGCGGUAGGGUUUUAAAGCACGUGUCGGAGGUGUACGCCGUGCGGAAGCUGAGGAUGGGGAUGACGUUGUUUGCAGAUACGAGUGUAGCGUCGUCGCA
rnacentral:lncRNA from 1 species